CCAAUACUCCCUCCGUUUGAAAAUACUUGUCCUAGAGAUGAAUGUAUCUAGGCUUAUUUUAGUUAUAGAUACAUUCAUUAUAUUCAUUUUUAGGACAAAUAUUUCCGAACGAAGGGAGUAUAUC
rnacentral:pre_miRNA from 1 species